CUAGCUCUGAGGUUCUUGCUUUGAGUGUUUGAGCAUCUAUCCACGCCAACUGGGGUCUCCUGAUCGCUGGGCUGGCGCAACGUUCAGACGGCUACAGGCCUGAGCGUCCAGGGCUUAGGUGACGAAAGUUGUCAUGGCAACAGCGGUGCUACUGAAUUCGUCUCCAAUGAAGGAAGGAUUCCACUUGCAGACACGCGCAAGGACCCCUAACUCCCAAGGUCCUAGAAUCCCAACGUUAGUGGAUGAGUGUGUGCCAUUCCUGUUUCCUUCAGGAAGGUCAGGACGACAAAGGUCAUUUUGAGGCUGUGCCCAUGUAUCCCAGACCAAUGGUCUGUAUGCCGGUAGAAGGGAUGGAAUGAGGUGUGCACCAGUCUUUCAUGCUUGUUUGUGAGACUGAGCUGGAUCAUGCAGGGAACCUCAAAUCCUUAUUAUUUAGUGAAAAUAGAGAGCCUGAGUGGAGGAUUUAGGCUACAAUAGAACGUUAAGGAGCUGGGAUUUAUUCUGUCGUUGUCAUUAACAAGUCUUUUGGCUGGUGUGUGAACAGCCUUAGGCACGGGAAAAAGCGGGAGGCCAGUGAGGAACCUUCAGUAAUGGACUAGGCAUAUAAUGGCAUCCUAGACCAGAGAGGUGGCACUGGGUGGGACUUAGGAAAUGAGAGCUAUAGAACAAGAUGGAGAUGGGUGCCCUUGAGGUGGACAUAGUAUUGGAGUAUAUGCAGGUGGGUAGGGGAGACUAGGCAGGUCCUGCACACAGCUGAGGUACCAGAGGGAGCCAGUGUGGUGUGCUUUGAACAGAGAACGUGGUAAGGUGGCUGCCUGUGACUGGCCCUACAGGAUCAGCUGUCUUCAUCAUCACAGGGCCUGGUGACUUUUGAGGACGUGGCUGUGCGCCUGUCCUGGGAGAAGUGGAGGCUCCUUAGUGUGACCCAAAGCAGACUGUACUGGGAUGUAAUGCUGGAGAACUUCAUGCUCCUGGCUUCUUUGAGUAUUUCCCAAAAGUCGCCUGGUGCCAAGUUCCGAAGAUACUGACGUGGUCAUUGCUUUCAGGGGCUACUGGGCUAUUCCUACAAAACCCUCCUUGAAGGUCUUGUGGCCACUCCACCACACGAGUUCAUUUUUCUGGAACGUGGCAAGAAGCCCUGGGGGUCUGGCUGGGAGGAUGCAAUUCUGGCCAUGACAGGAGAGGUGGUUAAUGUGGAAAAGAAGAUGAGGAGGCACCAUCGGGACAGGAUGGUUCUGAACAAGUAACAUCACGAGUCUGGAAUCCUGAUGCCAUUCUUCUAGCCAGAAGGUCUCCCCCUAUAACAUGGGUGGUCAGUUUUUCAGAGCAAUCUUGUACAUGGUGAAACAUCAGGGGACAGACCCUAGACAGAAACUGCACGUGUGUUGGGCAUGUGGGAGAGACUGCUGGUUCUGCUCAAACCUUCAAGUUAAACAGGGACUUCAGAGUGGAGAGAAAGCUUUCACUUGUGAUGAGUGUGAGGCCUCAAUUCUGAUUACUCAUCAGAGGAGCGACACUGCAGGGAAAUCCUCCACAAGCAGAGAGUGUGGUAAAAGAUGUCCCAGACAGCCAUGACUUCCUCCAGCCCCAGGCUACCCACAGAAGCACUGAGUGCAGGGAGGCCUUCCCACACAGCUGUAAUCUCGAACAGCUCACAGGAGUACAUGCCACACAGAAGCCCUUCCAGUGCAAUGACUGUGGGAAAGCCGUACUGAAGAGUUCCACCCUCCUCAGCCACCUUAAGACCUGCCCUAAAGAGAGACCCUCUGUAUGCUCUACAGGUGGAAAUGCCUUCAAGGAGAAAACAACUCUUAUUACUCAAAGAAAAAAAAUCACACUGGAGAAACAUCCCAUGUGUGUAAGGAGUGUGGGAGGGCCUUCAGUCAACCUGUCUAAACUGAAAAGGCAUCAGAAAAUUUACUCUAGAGAAAGGCCUUACAAGUGCAUGGAGUGUGGAAAAACUUUUGGCCAAAGUUGUACUCUGAUUCAACACUAGAAAAUUCACACUGGAGAAAGGCCUUAUGAGUGCAGCAAAUGCAGGAAAGCUUUUGGCCAUAGAUCUAACCUGGUUAAGUGUCAGAAAGUUCACACUGGAGAAAGACCUUAUGAGUGCAGUGAUUGUGGAAAAACCUUCAGUGAAAGCUCCGCCCUCAUAUGGCACCAGAUUGUCACACUGGAGAAAGGCUAUGUGAGUGCAGCAAAUGUGGGAAGGCCUUUAGCCACUAAUCCCACAUAGUUUGACACCAGAAAAUCCACACAAGAGAAAGGCUUUAUGAAUGCAGCAAAUGUGGCAAAGCUCCUACUGUGUUCUCCAUCAUAGAAUUCACACUGGAGAAAGACCAUAUGAAUUUAGCAAAUGUAGAAAAGCUUUUAGCCAACACUCCACCCUUAUUCAUCAUGAGAAAGCUCAUGGUAGAGAAGUCUGUCAAGUAUAGUGAGUGUGGAAAAGCCUUUAGCUAUAGAUCUAACCUUAUUAAACACCAAAGAGUUCACACCAGUUAAAGCCUUUAGGAGUGCAGUGAAUGUCAGAAAACUUUCAUCCAGAGCUGCACACUUGUUCAGCAUCAGUGACCACAUAAGAGAAGGGCCUAUGAGUGCAGUGUAUCUAGAAGAAGACAGCUGCCACUAUGGCCUCGUUCAACAUGAAAGGAAUCACAGCUAAGAGAAGCCCUAUGAGUAGUCUUUGUGAAAUAGCUUAAGAUAGAAGGUAAACCUUAUGCACCAGAAUACCACUCUCCUGAGGAAAUAACCCUACCUGUGUCACAUGUGUGAUGUUUUGUGGUCAUCCUACAUAAACAGGAUGGACCAAAAUUUAAUUCAGAUACCAAAGUUGAUGACACUUCACACACUAAGAGAAUUCAAGAGAAAGUUUAUUACUAGUAGAGGCACUCCUGGGGAGAGCUAGGUAGUCACAGGCAGGUCUGUGCUGGUUUGAGCAAAGCAGAGGGAGUGGGUUGGGCCUUCAUAGUGGCUAAGGGAUGGGACUGGGGAAAAGUUUCCACUCACAGGCUGAAGAUUGGUGAGAUUUACAUUUCCC